rnacentral:rRNA from 1 species
AUGCUGGAAACAGCGAUGCGGGAAUUCCAAGUGCCGGCACAAAGUGUCGGCUGUUCCAUUGUCUAAAAAACAUAGGAAGUAAGGGCUGGGUAAGACGGGUGCCAGCCGCCGCGGUAAUACCUGCAGCCCGAGUGGUGGCCGUUAUUAUUGGGCCUAAAACGUCCGUAGCCUGCUCAGUAGAUGCCUGUGUAAAUCGAACGGCUCAACCGUUCGAACUGCGGGUAGACCGCUGGGCUUGGGACCGGGAGAGUCACGAAGUACUCCGGGGGUAGAGGUGAAAUUCUGUAAUCCUCGGGGGACUACCGGUGGCGAAGGCGUCGUGAUAGAACGGCUCCGACGGUGAGGGACGAAGCCCUGGGGCGCAAACCGGAUUAGAUACCCCCGUAGUCC